rnacentral:rRNA from 1 species
CCAAGGCGACGAUCAGUAUCUGGUUUGAGAGGAUGAUCAGACACACUGGAACUGAGACACGGUCCAGACUCCUACGGGAGGCAGCAGUGGGGAAUUUUCCGCAAUGGGCGAAAGCCUGACGGAGCAAUCUCGCGUGAGGGAUGACGGCCUAUGGGUUGUAAACCUCUUUUUUCAGGGAGGAACAAAAUGACGUGUACCUGAAGAAUAAGCAUCGGCUAACUCCGUGCCAGCAGCCGCGGUAAGACGGAGGAUGCAAGUGUUAUCCGGAAUCACUGGGCGUAAAGCGUCUGUAGGUGGUUUAGUAAGCCAACUGUUAAAUCUUGAAGCUUAACUUCAAAAUCGCAGUCGAAACUACUAGACUAGAGUAUAGUAGGGGUAAAGGGAAUUUCCAGUGGAGCGGUGAAAUGCGUAGAUAUUGGAAAGAACACCGAUGGCGAAGGCACUUUACUGGGCUAUUACUGACACUCAGAGACGAAAGCUAGGGUAGCAAAUGGGAUUAGAUACCCCAGUAGUCCUAGCCGUAAACAAUGGAUACUAGAUGUUGAACAGAUCGACCUGUGCAGUAUUAAAGCUAACGCGUUAAGUAUCCCGCCUGGGAAGUAUGCUCGCAAGAGUG